GGCUUGGUAGCUCAGCUGGUAAGAGCAUUGCUUCGGCAUCGUAAGGUCCUGGGUUUCGAAUCCCGUUCGAGGUUUCCG